ensembl:sense_intronic Gm11611 predicted gene 11611
GGGCUCGGGGCUCGGCCUCUCCCACUGGGGAGUCAGGGACAGACCAGGGAGAUGGCUUUCCUAAACCUCUCCCUGCCCUGUGGCCAUUCUUGCCUCCGCCGCGCUGCUGCGGUCAGGGAGCUUGGAAUGAGAGAAGCCAUGGCCUUCCCUGGCUGCUGGUUUUCUCUUUCAGCAUUGGGGUGUUCUUCUAACUUCAGCCUUUGCUGCUGUCCUGCUGCGCUUAUUUCCUUGUGGGAAUGUGGGGGGUGGGCCUGCUGUCUGCGCUCCAGGGGCCUGUGCUUGAGGAGGGAGGGGGUAGAGAAAGGUCUGGACAUCUCUCCCUCUGCUCUGCCAGGUUGGGGUAAGAGGAUCUCAGUUCUCAACUUCUCAUGCGCACACACGCCCUCCCUUCCUUGUGUGAUUCUUCCCAACCCACAAUGAGGUCCGUGAUGGCGGCCACCAGCAUUGUGGCCUGACUUGAGGCCAGGUGGUCUUUGAUUACCUGGCGAGGGAGCAGACAGGCAUCAGAAGGUGGACAAUGCUGUGUGCAGCCCCUGGGAGUCUUCAGGGGCUGAGCGGUGGUGUGAAAGGGACACUUCCUGACUGGCUUUGUCCUCAGCAACCAGCUCUGCUCCUUUCUGGUUCUGAGACUCAGUUUUGAGGGGACCCAGCAGGCCAGGCCCUUUCCCUGGUUUCCCCUUCUGCAUCCUGAGAUGCUGUCAGGUGGAAGAGCCUGUCGAGCCGGGGGGGCCCUCCCUGCCUUCUCUGUGUGCACCCCAUUUCCAGGCUGCCUCAGGGCCCGGGGACUUCUGUGUCCCUCAAAUCAUCUUGACAGAAUGCACUCCCAGCUCUCCCACUCUGCCAGAGAUCACCUUAGAGGAACUGGGUCCCAGGACAGUUCCCACACCCAGACCCCGGACCCUGGCUGGCAGUGGGAAGGCUUGGAAUGGCCCCCAGGCCUUGCUGGGACUAGCGGCUGAGACACUCUGGUCUAGGAGCAGCUCAGUGCCUGGAAAGGAACCAGCACUUCUACAGAGCCCUCACAGUGUGGAAGCCAGAGUUCUCUGUCUUCGGGGACCGUCCCCGGAUGAGACUCGGAAGACUUUUACUGUUGAGACCCACUCAGAAGAGACCCCUCAAAACUCUGUAUGUGACACUCAAGCUUGCAGUAGGGGACCGCAGGCCAUCAACUCAGGCAGUACGGUACAGGAUGCUACCCUACGACGUAUGGACAGCCUGGAGGAGACACUCCAGGAACUAGAAACCACCCUGAGUGAGAUGGGCGCCAAGUCGACGAUGACGAUGAUGAUGUGUCCAGGCAUCCCCCAGCCCCUACAUCCCCACCCCC